rnacentral:sRNA from 1 species
GGCUCUGUCCUCCUGGACAUGCUGAAAGGCAGACGCCAGACGCCGAGGACCUUCUCCUGAAGGCGGCCACCUCGCCUGGUCCCCGAGGGUC